rnacentral:rRNA from 1 species
GACGAACGCUGGCGGCGUGCUUAACACAUGCAAGUCGAGCGAUGAAGUUCCUUCGGGAAUGGAUUAGCGGCGGACGGGUGAGUAACACGUGGGUAACCUGCCUCAUAGAGGGGAAUAGCCUUCCGAAAGGAAGAUUAAUGCCGCAUAAGAUUGUAGUGCCGCAUGGCAUAGCAAUUAAAGGAGCAAUCCGCUAUGAGAUGGACCCGCGUCGCAUUAGCUAGUUGGUGAGGUAACGGCUCACCAAGGCGACGAUGCGUAGCCGACCUGAGAGGGUGAUCGGCCACAUAGGGACUGAGACACGGCCCAGACUCCUACGGGAGGCAGCAGUGGGGAAUAUUGCACAAUGGGGGAAACCCUGAUGCAGCAACGCCGCGUGAGUGAUGACGGUCUUCGGAUUGUAAAACUCUGUCUUCAGGGACGAUAAUGACGGUACCUGAGGAGGAAGCCACGGCUAACUACGUGCCAGCCGCCGCGGUAA